UACGAAGGGGGCUAGCGUUGCUCGGAAUCACUGGGCGUAAAGCGCACGUAGGCGGCUUUCUAAGUCAGGGGUGAAAUCCUGGAGCUCAACUCCAGAACUGCCUUUGAUACUGGAGAGCUUGAGUCCGGGAGAGGUGAGUGGAAUUCCCAGUGUAGAGGUGAAAUUCGUAGAUAUUGGGAAGAACACCGGUGGCGAAGGCGGCUCACUGGCUCGUAACUGACGCUGAGGAGCGAAAGCGUGGGGAGCGAACAGG
rnacentral:rRNA from 1 species